ACUCAGGUAGUUUAAAUAAAACAUCGGUCUUGUAAGCCAAAACUGAAGAUUAAAACCUUCCCUGAGUU
rnacentral:tRNA from 1 species